AGAAUUAAAAGCUUACGCGCCCUUGCAUCUAAAGACAUAAAAGGCACCACAGCAAAAGGUAUUUUUUUCUGAGAGCUGAUGUAACCAUUCCAGAACCUUGCACGAGACAAUGAGGAGAUACAAGUGUGCUUUUCGUGGGCCACGAGAGGAGGUGAAGCAGCCUGCUUUCAAGAGUGGAAGGGAGUGUUUUGCCUAGUUUGAAAGAUUGGUGACAUGAAAGAGAGGAGCUAUUGGGUGUCUGCCUUGCCUCAUUGCAUAUGAGCGUCAGGAACCAACGCACAUCAGGAAACAAAAUGCAUGUAAAUCGCUGCAAAUAUGAAGUUGACCAAAGCUGCAUUUCUUGGCAUUCAGAGUACAACCAGGCCUAAUGGGGGCUCUUCAACUACUGGAAAAUGCUUAUUUGAAUUGAGUGAGUGAGUUGUUUAAGUAGACUAAAUUGUUAUUUUUUUGGCAUGGGGUAGGAGGCUCUAUGAGGCUUUUCCUAUUUUCAUCUAUGGUGGUUGAUUUGUGUGAGUGAAUAACGCAACUUAUUUCCUCUGCCUUCCGUGUUCCUGAGUGGACCAUAGCUGUUAUGGCAAAAACAUAUUUAUUUCUGAUAUUCAGACUAGGAAGUUUCUUCUUAGUUGUUUUGAUGAUGAGAAAUUUCUGGAUUAUGCUUAGCAUAGCUUGUAUGUGGGAUGUGUAGGAAAAGGCUUAAUAUGUGUUUUGUCUCUUGGUAUCUUUCUGCAAAAUGGAGAGAAGCCAACGCUUCCAUUGUAGGAGCAAAGAUAUACAACAUAAUUCUGGAAAAGUGAGAGAUAGGUGAGCAAGGAAUUAGUCUUUAAAAUGUCAGGCACUGCAGUUUCAUUGUAUUACACUGAAAUCAAAUGUUUUCAUUACUGUUACUCUAUGUUUAAUGGAGGUUUUAACUGUAUAUACUUUAGGAAAUUAGUAUUGUAAUUUUUCAUUGCUUGCACGUGUACAUAUGGACUUAGGUAAUAUUUAUGUAACUUCAGUUUUGUGCAUUAGAAAUGAACUUGCUAAGUUUGUGUUUGAGGGCUUGCUUGCAUGUCAACAUAGCAGAACUGAAUAUCUGCAGUUGGGCGGACUGGCUGUCAUGGAUUUGUCUAGUUUGUCUAAUGACACUUCCUGAGCACUUGGCAAAAAAGUUGGGCUGUAAGGCUUUGGGAAUCACCUGCUUUUUUUUGAAAUGAAGUGCAUUUACUUGGAUGGGCUUCCUGUAGGUGUGGCAUAUAUUUUGCCCUCCACAUUUCCCCUGUUUCUUCUGCUUUCUUGCCUUGCUUUUAAUUUCAGUAGCCUGUUAUGAAAAAUGACAUCAGUGCAGUGGUUAGACAGUAAAAGUUGGGCACAGUGAAGUGCAGCAAAAGCAGUGUUACUAUGCCAUGAGUUGAAUGAUGACGAGAGUAAAAUAUUUCACUUCUUGAGGCUCACAGAUGCACAAGUAAAUCUCAAGAGAUGUAUUAAUAUGCAACUGUAAUUUGUAAUAUAACUCAACGUAGACAAAUCCAUUUGAUGCACGCCUGAUAAGAUUUUUUUUUUUUUCAAUUUUGGCUGCUUAAAGUGUUGUAUGCACCAAAACUGAUGUGUCAAGAUAAAUGCAUAUAAGUUAUUUCCUUUUCCUCCCCCUAUUUAUCAUCACUGACGAGAAGAAUAAA